AGAAUAUGUAUGCUCUGAAGAAUAAUACAGCAAUCAAUGUGGAACUAGGGGAGGAAAAAAUUACGUAAAAUGGUAGGCAAUUUGCAGAAAAAAAGGAAGCUAGAUAUGAAAUCAGCAAGUAAUCAACACAACUACAAUAUGGAGAUCUCCCUAAGGAACAUAACAUACAGAGAUUCGCAGACUCAGUUGACGUCCUUCAAUCUUUUAAUUAAUGCAUCAAGAGAUUUCUUUUUAGUGUUCUGCUUAGCUCCCCUUGUGCCAAAAGACCCAAAAAGUCUGUCACUUUGAUCCUUCAUCUUUUCCGAGAUAGUAACAACUUUGCGGUAGUCCAAAGCAUUAUAACUUCUCUCUCUAAUAACUGGAUUCAGGAAAUUUUCCGGGUGAUUGCUUAAGAGUAGAUUAACCAACUGCCUGGACUCGCCCAAUGCUGCUUUCAGCUGACUAGCAUCUGCUUCAGAUAGGAGAGGAGCUUGGUUUUCAGCAAAUGAUUCCAACAUACGGAUAUCAACAUCAAGAGCCAUAACAGCAUUCACGUUGAACCUUUUAACUGAUUCCCCUAGUAAAGCCCCAACAAUCAUCUCUGAUAUAUGACACAGAACAUCU
rnacentral:misc_RNA from 1 species